rnacentral:rRNA from 1 species
UACAGAGGGUGCGAGCGUUAAUCGGAAUUACUGGGCGUAAAGCGUGCGUAGACGGUUAUUUAAGUCAGAUGUGAAAGCCCCGGGCUCAACCUGGGAAUUGCAUUUGAGACUGAAUAGCUAGGGUGCGGUAGAGGGAAGCGGAAUUUCCGGUGUAGCGGUGAAAUGCGUAGAUAUCGGAAGGAACAUCAGUGGCGAAAGCGACUUCCUGGACCAGUACCGACGUCAGGCACGAAAGCGUGGGGAGCAAACAGG